CUAACAGUGGACUUUUAUGUAAAGAUAUCGAUGGUCUGUUAGUUCACUUGUUCGAACCAUAUUAAGAUUGCAGGUCUUUUAUUUUUCAUUUUAACUGCAAAUUUUGAGUAUUUCUUGCGCAAAAUCUAACAAAAUGUAUUUAGUUUUUUUCAAUCAAAAUUCAAAUGCAGGACAUUUGACUUUUAAGAACUAGUCUUGAAUUUGAUAGAUUUAUACAAUAGCGUUGUAUUUGCGCUUUCUUUUUAAACUUUUAAAUCAAGACUGUUUUAACGAAGGUUGAUCAAAUAUUUAUAUAUGGUUGUUGUUGUUAUUUAAAGCAAUGUUCUUUUUGUUCGUUUAGCUGGUCUAUAAUUGUGAGAAAUUCAAGAAUUUAAUUUAUCUAAUAUAAGAAUUUACCACCAAGUGCAAUGUGAUGGCAUGGGUUUAUUAAAGAGCAUCUUAAUGAUAUAAAAAGGUACGAAUUCAGCGGAGUUUGAUCCGUAUUUUAUUUGUGGACUUGAUAUAAAUAUAUUAUCCACCAUUUAACCUUUAUGAACAAUUAGCUUAAAGCGUCGUGGAUUAUAUUCCUCCCUCGUUUGUUUUUGUUUUUUAAUGACAAAUUUCUGAGCUGAUCAUCAUCCCCGUUUGUAUAGCAUGUACUGAAACACUUCUGUGUAAACUCAACCCCCCAUCUUCUGUCAUUUCUACUUCACUGUAUACCGGUAACAGUUUCCAUGUAUGGCCUUACGAUAGCAGUAGAUUUUAUCUAUUCACAUUCGUGUAAAUUAUCCCUUCAAAGUAUUUAUAAAUGUACUUUAAGGUGGCAAGAAGUAUUGAAGCAGUCUUUGGAGAUUCAUUCACUUUUUAUGGGCAUGCUCAGUAAAGCUUUUAUUUUUUAGCGUCUUGUUGCGUGAGAAUAGUAGAAAGUACGAUGAUUCUUGGUGAACUCGGUAAGGACAUCAAAGGUCGUCGAUUUAUCUUGAUAUUGUGUAGAAUGUUGUACCACGAUUCUAUCUAUAGGAAUACAUUGAUAUCUUUGAAACAAACAAUUGUCAAAAUUUAACUGUUUUUUUUAAACAUUGAUGUAUUGUUCUCAUUAACUACCAAGAUUGUGGUAUAUUUGGUAUGUGUGUGUAAGUCAAUAUUAUUGAUAUAUUUACUGUAUCCAUGGUAUAUGUGUUGUGUGACAUAAAAGCUUAAAAAUUGUGCAACAUGAUAUUCUCUCUCAAUAGCUGUAAAUUAGCUAUAUAAUCAAGCUUCGAUUUUCUUUUCGGGUAUAUUGUUUCUGCCAAAAUUUGAAAUUAAAAGUCUAUUGUGG
rnacentral:misc_RNA from 1 species